CAGACCAGCUCGCUCACUCUUUUCCUCUUCCAUUUUUUUAGGGCAAUUGUUUUGUUUGAUAGACGAAGCUUAGUUAGGGUCUCUUUGGGUUUGCAACCCGUACCCUCCUGGAAAAAAUCAUAGUUGCUAGACUGCGACACUUCAGACCAGGUACUAUUAGAGCCGCUAAUGGACGACGAGCUAUUUUCCGCUAUCCGGAGCUCAAGCAUUUGAGCCGCUAAAUGGACGAGACUCCUGGGGUAAAGGAUGCAGAGAAUGAGGAGAAAACACUCGUAUGGAGCAGGGAGUAGGUAUUGUACUACUUCCUGGUAUGGAGCACUGAGAAGCGGUGGUGAACUUUUUGAUCGCAAUCGGCCACCACUGCACCAGUACCACAAACGGCGCAGCCGCAUGCCGAAAACGCCCCGUUCGUAAACAUUUCGGAAAGCGAUCCUCCAGUACCCAGUGCAGUACUAGUAGCGCAUAAAAAUGAAGCUGACAUGGAUCAUGGACAGCUAGCCUGCCUGGCUAGCUGGGCGGCCGACCACAAACUGACUGGCGAGUGGCGAGUAGGCAGAUAAUAUUAUGCCUUUAUCACUCUCUUAGUAUUGACUCCCAUUGCUUUUCGAUACCUAAGAAGUCAAAUAUUCCUGCAUAUUUCAUUCCUUAGGGCUAUAUUGACUGCUUAUAUUUGACUGCUUAGGGGUUGCGCAGUUGAACUGUGCCUAGUGCAGCAUUGUCACUGCAUGAGUAGGUGGUGGUGCAACAGUUGUUCAAUCAUAAAACCGGGAUUCAUGAGGUUGUCGUUCUGGAAUUUGAAAUACGGACUGUUUGUCGUGAUAAAUCUAAUAUUGACUUCGUACUUGGUCAGUAUAGGAAAUAAAAAUCUCGUAAAAGACCUCGGCUUCGCCUCGGGCUUUUACUCGGCUUUUAUUUCCUAUAUUGACCUCGUACUCAGUCAAUAUUAGAUACGUAUUCUGUUGACGUCAUCAAACAAGACAAACCAACAAUACAAGGAACGUAACCAUGGAAACUGUUGGUUGCUCCCUAGACUGAAUAUCGUGCUAUCCACUGAGUCUGUCAGUGUCAGUGACUCGGCUUGACACUAGACGCCAGUUGACGGCUUGACGACUGUCAUCCAGGGCACACGCCAUACCCAUUGAGCCUUCGACCGGCAAACGUGCAAGAAAGCACCAGUCCCUGUUCAAUGCACAGUGUUUCGUGGAAUUUAUCUCUCAUCAGUUGAGCUUGAGAAAUACUGCGCUUGAAGAGCACCACUUUCAUCGUGCUCUCCAGGCCAUAACAUCAAGCAUUCAGAGCAUGCAUGGAGACAGAAACGUUAGUCGAGGUACUCCCCGUAAUGGGAUGAUGCCAAUAACGUCUUGAGCUGGACCCUCCACUUUUGCUGGGACCAGAGAAACAUCGAAGUAUGUAAACGCUCGGAGCAGAAUAGCGAAUUGCUGGCAAGCUAACACAAGUCCAGAGCAUGCACUGAGGAAGUAACGUUAGUUGAGGUAUUCCCCGUAAUGCAACAGGCGUGGGAGUGCGAACUGCUAGCACAUAAUCCAUUCACUGGCGGAUGCGACAGAGUUCCAUAUAGCUGGACUGGAGUGUAAUACAGUCUGAAGGGCAGGGCACUCUCAUAAAAGUAUUGAUCCUGCCAGCGGAUCAACAAGGACCAAUCCUCCGGGCGGACGGGAAUUCGGCAGAAUGCACUUUUAACAUUGAGCUUAGCAAGAUACACCGGGGCGAGCACAAUUGUGGAGGAAAUUGUUUGGGAACGCAUGUUCCGCAAGUUGCAUGCUCGAAAGUCGAAAACAGCAAUGACAUGCUAGAGACAUUGUACAGGAUCUUGGAAGGCGCAUGACCAUGUGACUCGCGCAUGCGUGCAGGUCGGGCCAGCUCGCUGGGCUGCCUGCUAACUUGCGUUAGCAUGCUAACGCUCAUUAUGGUUUAGAUCGCAUUAUUGUAAUGGUCGCGGUUUGAUUUCAAAAGACCAUAGAAAGUGCGGAUGGCAACCAACAGGCUCAAGGCUGUGUUGGGACUUCGUGUGCGCGACCUGAGUCAAUUGUUCACUCACCAUGACUAGGCAUCGCAUUGAGCAUCGUUUGACCACUACUAUAUGUCACUGUUCUUAGUCGCACCGGGGGCGCAUGCCCGUUUUCAGGAGACUUAUCAAAACACAUAAGCCCUGUGCCCUGAAGGUUAGGCCUAUUGUUAGUCUGAAUAGUCCUGGCUACUAUCCCGCUAAGUUCAUUGACUUUCUACUGAACCUGUAUGUACGUGAGGAAAGUACUGUUCUGGCCUGAGCUACGGAUUUCAUCAACUUGGUAGAAGGUUUGUCUGUGCGGGACGAUCAUUUAUUUUUGAGUAUAGAUGUGACCAGCCUUAACACCAACAUCCCCAACGAGCUCGGUCACGUGGCAUUGUCGUGGUAUAUCACACACAGGUAUACAAGGUGGAUGCCCCGGCCCUUCGUACACGGUUAACAACAGCAUUGACUUCCUUGAUGUCAGUCAUUCGGAAGACUAACGAGUUCGUGUAUGAUAACGAUUUGUUUCCGCAGAUCCAAGGGACUGCUAUGGGUUCGCCUGCAGCAGUGGUCUAUGCCGACAUUGUUAUGCUGUAUUUGGAGAAUCGGUACAUUUUGCCGAUCUUAGAGGGGGAGGGGUUAGAGGUUCAGGUUUAUAGACGCUUUAUCAGUGACAUUUUUGUUUCAUUGCAUGGUUGCGAAGGUCAAGUUCAGCGCGCUUUAGACAGGAUUAAUAAGUGUUCGGCCCUCGAGUUUGCGCAUGAACUGGCACAUGAUGACAUUGAUUUCCUGGACACCACAGUUUCCCGUAGUAAGAGAUACAUGGCGGUGAAGCCUCAUUUCAAGGUCACCAAUCGUUUCCUGUAUCUGCUUGCCGGUAGUGACCACCCACGUAGUAUGGGUAAAGGUGUGAUCACUGGGGAGUUGAUCCGUAUCCGUCGGUCUUCGACCCUUGACCACCACUACGAAGCUGCUGCCGAGCAGCCGAAGCAGGCUUUCCGGGCCCGUGUAUACAAGAGCUCCAUCUUUCAUCUUUCAGACCGUACACCAGGCAUGCAAGGCCGGGCCGCCCCACUUUUUUGGCCGUUUUUUGUUCUUGUUUUUUUAGCACACUGCAACAAAGCGCGAUGAUCGCAGCUCAGCUCAAACGUGGCAAAUAAUGAAGAAUCCUUGUCCCCGAUCCCCGAUCCCGUCCCCGAUCCCCAUCCCCGAUCCCCGUGGUUUGUUACAGAAUAAAAGAGUCUUGCACCAAAUGCCCGGAAAUGCUUGCAAUUGGCUUCAGUUUUUGACAUUUUUACCGCGGAGGGCCCCCGGACCCCCUUGCAUGGCCGCCCCACCUCCAAAGUCGGUGCGACGGGCCUGGCAUGGAUGCGCAGGGAAGGUAUGUUGGUCAGAUUGGCAUGGGUUUGGGUUAUUUGAACUUAUUUCUGUAGUUGUAUACAGUGUUCCUCAUUGUAUUUACCUGGGCCCGGCCUGCUGUCCUUCGCCCGUUGGUCUUGAGGUCCAGGUGUAAUAUCCCUACCAUACAGUCCGGUGGCCAGCGCGGCCCGGCAAAUUGUUGUUACAAGGUGGAACAUCGGCAAGAGAUUGCUUGCUCGUUUGCCUCAUGCUCAGUGUCCUCAGGGAGUUGGUAUUUUGCUUCUGUUUGGAUUUUGCAGUGUCUAUGGUGUCCGUAAUUGAGUUUUUGUUCUGUGUCUUUUUCUGUGGUGUGUGGUCAUUGUUCACACAUCUUUAUUUGACUUGCUUCCUGGUGUGGUGUAUCCUUUUGUUUUAUCAUUGGUGCUGGUCUGGCUGUAGAGUUCUAGCAUCCGUAGCUGCCUCAGGGGUGCCACUUUUCCCAUCAGCGUCGACUAGUCCGUAGGAAAGGACCAACCAAACUGCAUCCAACCAUUGGUCUUGCCGAAAAGAAAUUAUGGCCAUUGCAUUCUUCUUACGGCAAAAACUUUAACUUGUUUGCUGGCUAAAGCUGAGUCUGGCAAUUACAUGUUAAAACUAGCAAUGUGCUGUCUGAACAAUAAAAAAAUUCAGACAGCACAUUGCUGCCCUGCCCUGCCCUGCCCUGCCCUGGCCCCUGUAGGUAAGAACUGCACAGCACUGACAGCGCCUUUCAACGGCAAGGUGACCGGAACAGGUGUCACGCCCGGCACUGGUCUCUUCUUCGCCUGCAAUGUACCCUACGUACUCCAGGGCAGCGUCGUGCGCUACUGCGACGUCUCCGGAACGUGGAGCAGCGUUCCUGCUACAUGCUCAAUCCCUGAUAUUCCCUGCAAGUACCACGAGUUCAAGUGCGGUGGCAGUGGUGGUUGCAUCUCAACCACCAAGGUCUGCGACGGUGUGUGGUAUGACUGCCCGGAUGGCUCCGACGAGAGCAACCACACUAGCACACGCGGCACUGCAGCACCAGACUCCACCAAAUGGCUACAUCCAGGGAGCCAGCAUGACCAGCUAUGGCAGCCAGAUUGCGUUUGGCUGCUACUAGCUAUACUUUCUCCAGGGACCUGCCACCCACACCUGCCAGCUGAGUGGCAAGUGGGAUGGUGUACCACCCGUCUGCACAUUGGUCUCACUUGCAAGAGUGGCUUCUAGCCAUAUUAUCGUGAUGGUACCUGCCUGGCCUCUUCCAAGUUCUGCAAUGGCAUUUUCUUUGAGUGUCCCGACAAGACAGACGAAUAUCAAUGCGGCACGACUGGACCCGGUGUGUGCACACCGCUAGCUAAACCGACCAACAGCUACUCCCAGGGCACAAACUAUUCUGCUGGAGGCAGCGUCGUCUUCGGCUGAAAUUCCGGAUACAACCUGCAGGGAAGCAUUGUGCGCAUCUGCCAGAUUGACGGUUCCUGGAGUGGGGCAGCUGCCUUCUGUAAUCUGCCAGUCUGGCUACCUGCCCUGCCUGCGUUCCAGUGGCUGUAUCCUGCCAUCACAGCGCUGCGACGGUGUUUGGUACGACUGUGCUGAUGGCUCUGAUGCACAGUACUGCCCAGGCAAGGUCACACCAGCUCCAGGUCAAACCGACUGCCGGGCCCUGUCACCACCGGCACUGGGCUCAAUGACCGUGAACGGCUUGAUGUUCAGCAACACGACCACGUUUGUGUGCACAUCUUCCUAUGUCCUUUUGGGCGUGCUUGUGAAAUCAACGGUCAGUGGAGCAGUGUGCAGCCAACUUGCGUCCUGACGACUGCUGCUCUGAGUGCGGCCAGUGACGAGCUAGUCAAGGACUCCGUCUCAGAACGCAUGACACAAACAUGUUAGCUCCCGCUCCAUGCCCAUUGUUGGAGCGACAGUCCUGGAGUCCAGAGUUGCAAGUGAGAUGGUGAUACGGCAAGCAGACGGUGGCAAAGGACGGCUUAAAAGCUCUACAUCUGGCAAGUGGCCGGCAUACCACACCAAUGGACAUCGGACCAGUACACGUAGAGUAGCAUCUCUACGUGACAGGGUAUGAGCGCAAGCCAGUAUUGCCAAGCACUGGGGACCUUUGGCAAUCUGAAGAAUGUUUUGUCCGAGAAUCGAUCCUUGGAUCUGUGGCGUUGCAGUUGUGGUGCUCCCGACCCUCUUGCGCGAUGGCCGCGGAGACUUGGCGAAAAGGUUCGAGACAUACGGCAUCUCAAUAUCUUCCACCACAAUCAGUACAUCAGCACCACCAUCGAGCGUAGCGACAUCAGCAAUAGAAGACGCACAUGAUAUCAUUCCCCCUUAGCGAAGACCUGGGAAUACCUGAGAAGAUGUUAGCCUCGACUUUACUGGAAAAGUCGUCGGUGACAACGGCACUCCAUAUUUUAUCUGCAUGCAGAUAGGUCUCUCAACAAGUGUACCCAACAAGUGUACCCAAAGUUUUCAAGCUAAUACACAAGCAAAUUCACUAGGGUCCGAGUAUAUUUUCCUACACCUCUCCCAGUUUGUUGUUGUUAUUUCUGCAUUCAAAUUGUUUGUGUACCUGUACAUUUAUUACAGUAGAGCCACGCAUCCACGACUGUUGUUUCCAAGGGGUCAGGCUCGUCAGUUAUACAAGACCUUUCAGCAAUCUGGCCUUAGGCUUAGUUCCUUGACUUCUUGUACCACUUUCUUAGAUGCACAUCCCACUGGAUAGUGAGCAAUACGUGUGUAGCAGAAUCUGUAUUCCAGAAAAGCAGAGACUCGUCGAGUCUAUUGACACUGCGUUUCUUUUUAAAACGUUAUUGGCUGUGGUGUUCCUAGAGGUAUACACGUACAUUCCUGGGUCACGGUCUGUGACGCCCGACUGUAUUCGUGGUGCAUCAACAAUUUUUAAUUUUGUGCACUCGUGAACCUGCCUGAGGCUGUGAGGCUGCAGAGUGUUGCCUGUGUUUUGCUUAAGAAAAACCAUCAGGUCUCCCCAGA